rnacentral:rRNA from 1 species
UACGUAGGGGGCAAGCGUUGUCCGGAAUCAUUGGGCGUAAAGCGCGUGUAGGCGGCUCGGUAAGUCCGCUCUGAAAGUCCGGGGCUCAACCCCGGGAGGCGGGUGGAUACUGUCGAGCUAGAGUCCGGAAGAGGCGAGCGGAAUUCCUGGUAGCGGUGAAAUGCGCAGAUAUCAGGAGGAACACCCGUGGCGAAGGCGGCUCUCUGGGACGGUACUGACGCUGAGACGCGAAAGCGUGGGGAGCAAACAGG